rnacentral:rRNA from 1 species
CCUACGAGAGGCUGCAGUGAGGAAUAUUGGUCAAUGGACGAGAGUCUGAACCAGCCAAGUAGCGUGAAGGAUGACUGCCCUAUGGGUUGUAAACUUCUUUUAUAUGGGAAUAAAACGUUCCACGUGUGGGCUUUUGUAUGUACCCUAUGAAUAAGGAUCGGCUAACUCCGUGCCAGCAGCCGCGGUAAUACGGAGGAUCCGAGCGUUAUCCGGAUUUAUUGGGUUUAAGGGGAGCGUAGGUGGAUUGUUAAGUCAGUUGUGAAAGUUUGCGGCUCAACCGUAAAAUUGCAGCUGAAACUGGCAGUCUUGAGUACAGUAGAGGUGGGCGGAAUUCGUGGUGUAGCGGUGAAAUGCUUAGAUAUCACGAAGAACUCCGAUUGCGAAGGCAGCUUACUAAACUGCCACUGACAUUGAUGCUCGAAAGUGUGGGUAUCAAACAGGAUUAGAUACCCCUGUAGUC